GGCCUGGUAGUUCAGUUGGUUAGAACGCCGGCCUGUCACGCCGGAGGUCGAGAGUUCGAGUCUCUUCCAGGUCGCCA
rnacentral:tRNA from 1 species